CUCCCUGGUACCAUACCCCAGCCGAUGAGAAGGCCCAGAACCAGCCUGCUGUCAGGAUCAGAACAAAAGAGGAGGACUGCAUAUGUAUGGACCCACUCCAGAUGGCACGGGGACGGGGGGAGUAGGAAAAGUGGCAUGAUGAGGAAAUGGAGGCACAGACUGAUUAGAAAACCAGCUCAAGGUCAUGUUGCUGCUCUCUCAUUCCUGUUGAGGGCUCUCUGGUGGAGCCUCUGUCUCACAGGUCACCUGCAGGCCAACACUCCCAGAAGCAGCUAGCACCAUGGUUGACCUCGUCCAGGUCCAGGGAAGGCCUCCCUCUCCAGGACUCCUUUAGAUUUCCCCAGCAUCCAGACCUCACCUGCCUAAGUGCUGUUGCCCUGGAAGCCACAGUGAGCACGAGCUCCAUCUUGCACCUUUACCAGCCAAUGGGGGUAAAGACAUUAGCUGGGAAGCCUGAGACCACAGCUACUGCCUCGAAUCAGAAGCCCCAGCCUCAUCAUCUGGGGCCAGAGAACUAGGGCAGGAGGAGCCAAGUAGCACAGCAGGAAGCAUGAGUCCCUCCGAGGAGAAGCUGGUCUCUGAGAGGAGCACAGAAUGCAGCAGGCUGGAUAAGGU
ensembl:lncRNA VIPR1-AS1 VIPR1 antisense RNA 1